rnacentral:rRNA from 1 species
GGUCAGGCGGGGAAGGGCACAUGGCGGAUGCCUUGGCAUCAAGGGCCGAAGAAGGGCGCGGCAAGACUGCGAAAAGCCCCGGUGAGCUGUCCAGCAAGCCUAGCCGGGGAUUCCCGAAUGGGGUAACCCGUCCCGACAAAAUCGGGACACCCCCAGCUGAACACAUAGGCUGGGAGGAGGGCACCAGGAGAAGUGAAACAUCUCAGUAGCCUGAGGAAGAGAGACAGAUAUGCAUAUUCCUUUAGUAGCGGCGAGCGAAAGAGGAAAAGCCCAAACCCGGUAAGCUCAGUGGCUCUGGAGCCUAUGCUUAUCGGGGGUUGUAAGGCAGGUUGGACCCAUUCCAGAGUGGUCAAGAAGUUACAAACCAAACCCUAGUCGAAGGUUCCUGGAAAGGACCACCACAGACGGUGACAGUCCAGUAGAUUAAAGGGGGCGGCUUCUAACCUGUUCUUAAGUACCACGGGGCACGAGGAACCCUGUGGGAAUCUGCCCCGACCACGGGGCAAGGCUAAACACCCUUGAUGACCGAUAGUGAACUAGUACCGUGAGGGAAAGGUGAAAAGCACCCCGGUGAGGGGAGUGAAAUAGAACCUGAAACCGUGUGCCUACAAGCAGUCAGAGCCCCGAUGUAAAUCGGGGUAAUGGCGUGCCUCUUGAAGAAUGAACCGACGAGUUAAUCUAUGUAGCUGGUUAAGCAACUUUAGUUGUGGAGCCAAAGCGAAAGCGAGUCUGAAUAGGGCGUCAUGGUUGCAUGGAUUAUACCCGAAGCCGGGUGAGCUACCCAUGGCCAGGGUGAAGCUCCGAUAAAAUCGGAGUGGAGGCCCGAACUCGUCAGUGUUGCAAAACUGUGAGAUGAGCUGUGGGUAGGGGUGAUAUGCCAAACGAACUCGGUGAUAGCUGGUUCUCCCCGAAAUGUAUUGACGUACAGCCUCAGACGAUAGCUAGUGGAGGUAGGGCUCUGGAUGGACUCGGGGGCGAGUAGCUUACCAACUCCAACCAAACCUUGAAUGCCAUUAGCCGUAAUCUGGGAGUGAGACUGCGGGGGAUAAGCUUCGUAGUCGAGAGGGAAACAGCCCAGACCAUCAGCUAAGGUCCCCAAGAACGGGCUAAGUGGUAAAGGAAGUAGGACUGCCCAGACAGCCAGGAGGUUGGCUUAGAAGCAGCCAUCCUUUAAAGAAAGCGUAACAGCUCACUGGUUUAGCGGUGCUGCGCCGACAACCUAGCGGGGCUCAAGCCCGUCACCGAAGCUAUGGCUUUCCCGAUUUAUCGGGAAGGGGUAGGGGAGCGUUCUCUUAGCCAUAAAGCUGCUAUGUAAAUAGCGGUGGAGUUGAGAGAAGUGAGAAUGUCGGUAUAAGUAGCGCAAGGCGUGUGCGAAACACGCCCACCGGAAGCCUGAGGUUUCCUACGGAAGGUUAUUCCGCGUAGGGUUAGUCGGUCCUAAGCUGAGGCCAAGAGGCGUAAGCGAUGGACAACGGGUUAUUAUUCCCGUACCGCUUCUAUGGAGGCAAAGGGGGAACACGGAAGGGUAAGUUAAGCGUACCCAUUGGACAUGGUGCGUCGCUCACCAAAGGCGAUGCCGGGGCAGGCAAAUCCACCCUGGUUUUUAAGCUGAAAGUGAGAGAAAGCUGAUGGGCAACCUGAAGCGAUUUAGCCGAACCCAGGCCGUCAAGAAAAGCCUCGUUGCCAGCGAAGUAGAAGUGACCGUACCGCAAACCGACGCAGGUAGGCUGGGAUAAAAGUCCCAAGGUGAUCGAGUGAUCCCUCGUUAAGGAACUCGGCAAUCUAACCCCGUAACUUAGGGAUAAGGGGGGCCCCGACUCUGUCGGGGUGGCACAGAAUUGGCCCAAGCGACUGUUUAACAAAAACACAGGUCUCUGCCAAAGCGUAAGCUGAGAUAUAGAGGCUGAAGCCUGCCCAGCGCCAGAAGGUUAAGGGGAGGUGUGCAAGCACUGAACUGAAGCCCUGGUAAGCGGCGGCCGUAACUAUAACGGUCCUAAGGUAGCGAAGUCCCUUGUCGGGUAAGUUCCGACCUGCACGAAUGGUAUAACGACUUGGGCGCUGUCUCAACGAGGAGCUCGGUGAAAUUGAAGUACCCGUGAAGAUGCGGGUUCCCCACAACUGGACAAAAAGACCCCGUGGAGCUUUACUAUAGCUUGGCAUUGAGUCUGGGCUUAUCAUGUGUAGCAUAGGUGGGAGGCUAUGAAACCAGGGCGCUAGCUCUGGUGGAGCCAACACUGAAAUACCACUCUUGAUGAGUUUAGCCUCUAACCCUGGUGCAAGCCAGGGGACACUGCCUGGCGGGUAGUUUGACUGGGGCGGUCGCCUCCUAAAAGGUAACGGAGGCGUCCAAAGGUCCCCUCAGGGUGGAUGGAAAUCACCCGUGGAGUGCAUUGGCAUAAGGGGGCUUGACUGUGAGACCUACAAGUCGAGCAGGGACGAAAGUCGGGCAAAGUGAUCCUACGGCACCAAGUGGAAGGGCCGUGGCUUAACGGAUAAAAGCUACCCCGGGGAUAACAGGCUUAUCUUGCCCAAGAGUUCACAUCGACGGCAAGGUUUGGCACCUCGAUGUCGGCUCGUCGCAUCCUGGGGCUG